GAUGAACGCUGGCGGCGUGCCUAAUACAUGCAAGUCGAGCGAACGGACGAGAAGCUUGCUUCUCUGAUGUUAGCGGCGGACGGGUGAGUAACACGUGGAUAACCUACCUAUAAGACUGGGAUAACUUCGGGAAACCGGAGCUAAUACCGGAUAAUAUUUUGAACCGCAUGGUUCAAAAGUGAAAGACGGUCUUGCUGUCACUUAUAGAUGGAUCCGCGCUGCAUUAGCUAGUUGGUAAGGUAACGGCUUACCAAGGCAACGAUGCAUAGCCGACCUGAGAGGGUGAUCGGCCACAAUGGAACUGAGACACGGUCCAGACUCCUACGGGAGGCAGCAGUAGGGAAUCUUCCGGAAUGGGCGAAAGCCUGACGGAGCAACGCCGCGUGAGUGAUGAAGGUCUUCGGAUCGUAAAACUCUGUUAUUAGGGAAGAACAUAUGUGUAAGUAACUGUGCACAUCUUGACGGUACCUAAUCAGAAAGCCACGGCUAACUACGUG
rnacentral:rRNA from 1 species